rnacentral:lncRNA from 1 species
AUUCUAGAAAAGAAAAGCUGGCAGCUUUCAAGUCAGGCUUGUGCCUUCUACCUCCCUGCCAUGUGGGCUAUGGGUGCUACAAGAACUUUUUAUCCAAGUGCUGGUUUUCUGACAAGUAGCAGGAGCUUUAUUUUUGUUGCUUAGUUGACUGUGAAGAAUCACCAUCUGUACAAAUUGUAAUUCUGAUACUCCAGAGCCACACUGGAAUUGUUCAACUAAUUUCCAUAAAUUUACUCCGGUGGUCACAAUUGUUCAUCCUUAUCAGUCAGAUCCAGACCUCAAUGAGACUAUUGUGCAGCUGCAGGUGAAAUCCUUUCUCGGCCUUCUACACCAAUUCCCAGUGACCCUCAAUCUCAAACCUCCAUAGAGAAUGUUCUGUUUGAGGUACUUAUAGGCACAUGGGCCUCAUGAAUAAUCACCAACAAGAAAGACAUUUAUUUCAGUGUGAAUUCCAUCAUUAACAAUGCUAUAAAUAAUGACAAGCCAGAGGAAACAUUUUUAAUUGGAAGCACAUGGGCAAGGACUUUAGGUUUCCUUCUAUUUCAUUAGGGUGAUUUUUGUUUCCACAGACAUUUAUUAUUGUACCUGACAUCUGAUGGCUUUAUGGGUGACUUUAUUGGAGGUUUUACAGAAGACUUAAACGGGCACAGAUUAGCAAAGAAACAAGUGACAAUGCCAAGCAGGGAAGAGAUCAUCGCUGCUUAAGCAAGGAACGGAGAGGAAAGGGAAGCUGUCUGACUUUCACUUGGUCUUUCCACACGGAGACAAUGUGAGGGAUGGGGGGGAUGAGGGAAAUAGCACAGGGCAGAGUGCCUGAAAACAGCCCAUAGAAGUUAUACUUUGGCACCUGGAAGGUACAUGUGAACAUCACACAGCAAUGUAGUGACGAAUAGGCCACAUUUGCCGAGCACUGAACGGUGUGAUGCUAAAGCAGAAAAACAAAAGGUACCACAGCCAAAAUACUCGCAUGACUCCACGGAAGGGUUGCCAGUUAGCAUGGAGUCAGGACUCAUUUUCUAGCAACCCUGCUCUCAAUAAUUUGGAUUUAGAUUCAUCAGUGCACAGACUUUUGAACCAAUGAAACUUGGCCCCUGAUGAUUCUGAUCUCUACUACAGACACCUCUACAUACCAGACAGAGCUCCAAGCAACACUUAAAGGGCUGACUUCAAGAACUGCCAUCUAGAAUCCUCAAAUGCGCAUGUAACAUAAGUAAAAAUUAACAUCAUUUCUAUAGGUUGGCGUCUGGUUGGCCUUCUUUCUAUUCUGUCAUCUUUUUAACUUCCUGUUAACACACUUGACAGUAAUUACAUGUUAGAAGGUGGAGAAAAAGACACCUUCAGGAGAAGUCAACAGGACCAUAUCAUCUAGAUCAUUUGUCCCACAUAAGACAUCACCCAAUGUUUUGGGAGAAAACUUGCCCAGCUAUUUCCUCACACCUUUAGUUGGUAGGCUUUUCAAAAUAUUUGCAUAACUGAAUUUUAAUACAGAAUCAAAACCCA